AAACAUCAGGCUGCAGCAUGUGGAGUCUGGUAUACCUCAGUUCUCAGCGGCUGGUCACUCUUAAUCCACCCCCACUUUUGUUCUUCUGGCUCCCACAGCUAUGACUCUUCUGAUGUGUGCCCUCCGAAACACCCUCUUGGUUUGGAAGUCCCGAGUCUCACACAGGAUUUAUCUUUUUUUCCCCCUAUGUGCUUUCUUCUGGAGCAGAAAUGAAUAGAACUUCUGCCUUUUUGUUUUCCAGGGAGGAGACCUUUGUGGACGUCUAAGGAGACAAGAGGAACAGAGUGGGAUAUCUGCUUUCCUGGACCAGAAAUGGAUCACAUUGCUUCCUGUCAGAAUUGUAGGCCCAGGAAAGAAAUGUCACGAAGAAAAUAUUCUUUCUGUAGUGGAGAGCUCUGGGAAGAACAAUGGCUGCCAUGUGGGGAGACACUGAGUGUGACUGGGCUAUUGAAGACCAGCCAUGCUCAUUUGUGCCCCGACACUGUUUGCGAAUGAUCUCUUUAGUGCUUCAUUCCAUUCUAGGGUCUUCAGAAGACCAGGCUGACAGCCAGCCAGAGGAAGGGAGGAAGGAGGGCGCUGUGUUGGUGUGGAUGAAGGCGAUGCCUGAACUCACCCAGGGCUCCCGGAAAGAGCUCUGAAGGUAAAGCCAUCACUUUCCUUGGAGAUGGAAUGGACUACUCAGAGGAAAGAAGUCCCAAACAUUAUGAUGUCUGGGGAAAGGAGGGAAAAAAAAAACACUUAAAAAAAAACAUUUUAUUUUCUUGUAAAAAACACUUUUUCAGAGUUUAAAGGAUUUGAUUUC
rnacentral:lncRNA from 1 species